rnacentral:RNase_P_RNA from 1 species
AAAUAAGGAUAUAUGGCCGCAUGACACAGGCUUGAUGAAGCAGGUGCCAUGAGGAAAAGUCCGGGCUCCGUCGGAAAGAAUGCCGGGUAAUAACCGGGAGAGAAAGGAAAGCUGCAGGAUUCUGCAAAGCUCCUUAAUCUACAGAAAGUGCUACAGAAAAUUACCGCCGGCCUUAACGGGCAGGUAAGGGUGAAAAGGCAGGGUAAGAGCCUACCGCGGUUCUGGCAACAGAACCGGCAUAAGCAAACCUCAUUCGGAGCAAAAUCGUGCAGCAGUUUGGAUUCCGACCUUACACUGCGGGUAGAUUGCUGGAGGCGUCUGGCGACAGGCGCUGCGGAUAGAUGGCCAUGGAACACGUUAUGUGUUCUACCAGAACCCGGCUUACCAUAUCCUUUUUUAUUU